rnacentral:lncRNA from 10 species
CAUCAAGAUACAAGGUGUGUAAUGGGGUGCACAUUGGGGUGCAAGGUGUGUAAUGGUGCACAUUUGGGUGUAAGGUGGAUAAUGGUGCACAUUUGGGGCGUAAGGUGUGUAACGGUGUACAUUGGGGUGUAAGGUGUGUAAUGGGGUGCCCAUUUGGGGUGUAAGGUGGAUAAUGCACAUUUGGGGUGUAAGGUGUGUAAUGGUGAACUUUGGGAUGUAAAGUGUGUAAUGGCUGCACAUUUGGGGGUGUAAGGUGGAUAACGGUGCACAUUUGGGGUGUAGGGUUUGUAACGGUGCAUAUUGGGGUGCAAGGUGUGUAAUGGGGUGCACAUUUGGGAUGUAAGGUGUGUAACGGUGCACAUUGGAGUGUAAGGUGUGUAAUGGGGUGCACAUUUGGGGUGUAAGGUGUGCAAUGGUGCACAUUUGGGUGUAAGGUGUGGAUUAGGGGUGCACAUUGGGGUGUGAGGUAUUAGGUGCACAUUUGGAGUACAGAGUGUGUAUUACGAGUACACAUUUAAGGUGCAAGUUGUGUAAUGGGGUGCCCAUUUGUGUGUAAUGAAUGUAUUGGGGUGCCCAUUUGGGGUGCAAGGUGUGUAUUAGGGGUUCCCAUUUAGGUGUAAGGUGUGUAAUGGGGUGCACAUUUGGGGUGUAAGGUAUGUAUUAGGGGUGCACAUUUGGAGUAUAAAUUGUGUACUGGGGUGCACAUAUGAGGUACCAGGUGUGUACAUUUGAGGUACCAGAUGUGUAAUGGGGUGCAUAUUUGUGUGUAAGGUAUGUAUUAGGGGUGUGCAUUUGGGGUGUAAGGUGUGUAAUGGGUGCACAUUUGGGGUGUAAGGUGUGUAAUGGGGUGCACAUUUGAGGUACCAGCUGUGUAAUGGGGUGCAUAUUUGGGUAUAAGGUAUGUAUUAGGGGUGCACAUAUGGGGUGUAAGGUGUGUAAUGGGGUGCACAUUUGGGGUGUAAAGCGUGUAUAUGGGGUGCCCAUUUGGGGUGUAAGGUGUGUACUGGGAUGCACAUUUGGGGUGUAAGGUGUGUAAUGGGGUGCACAUUUGAGGUACCAGGUGUAUAAUGGGGUGCACAUUUGGGGUGUAAGGUAUGUAUUAGGGGUGCACAUUUGGGUUGUAAGGUGUGUAAUGGGGUGCACAUUUGGGGUGCAGGGCACGUAUUAGCCAUCAAUACCUGUGAGGGGAAGGAGUGAGAGCAGGAAGUCCAACUGUCAGGUGUCCUCCCCUGGGUGGUCCUGGGUCACCAGGGGCUGCCCUGGGGGUGUAAGGCCGGGUGGGCUGAGCAAUGUGUGACGACCCCACUCUUUCCUGGAAGGGUGGGCUCUGGCAGCAGGUCUCUGUGUCCACACACAAAAGGAGGUGAGGAGAAAGCUGAGAAAGCACCGUCUAACUGCUCAGGAGCUCAGAGAAGAGGCAGAGGACGAAUUCACUCAGGUGAGGCAGGGAGGCCUCAAGGGGAUGCCUCAUAGAAGAGGCAGGAUUUUAACUGGCCCAGAAGGAGGAGUAAGGUUAGAUAAGGGGAAAAGUGAACUCAGCAUUUCCCAGGCAGAGGCAAGGACCUAAGGACAAGUUGGGGAUGUGGGGGUGGAAAAUCACAUUUGAGAAAUGGAAAUAAUUCAGACAGGUCCAAGGUAUUUGAGAAGAGACGGAAAAGGGGGCUUGCUAUGCUCUGAAUGCCUGUGUCCCCCAAGCUUAUAUGUGUGACCCUAACAAAAAACCCACCGAGUCUUACUCUGUCACCCAGGCUGGAGUGCAGUGGUGCAAUCUCGGCUCACUGCAACCUCCAACUCCAGGGUUAAAGCAAUCCUCCCACCUCAACCUCCUGAGUAGCUG